UACGUAGGGUCCGAGCGUUGUCCGGAAUUACUGGGCGUAAAGAGCUCGUAGGUGGUUUGUCGCGUUGUUCGUGAAAACUCACAGCUCAACUGUGGGCGUGCGGGCGAUACGGGCAGACUUGAGUUCGGUAGGGGGAGACUGGAAUUCCUGGUGUAGAGGUGAAAUUCGUAGAUAUUGGGAAGAACACCGGUGGCGAAGGCGGCUCACUGGCUCGUAUCUGACGCUCAGGCGCGAUAGCGUGGGGAUCAAACAGG
rnacentral:rRNA from 1 species